rnacentral:lncRNA from 1 species
CCAAAGACAUUCAUUGAAAUUCAAAGCAUAAAAAAUAUAUAUAUCAAAAUGUGACUGAAUACAUUAAGUCAAAAUACAUAGAUCAUACAAAAAUCAUGGAUAAUAACUAUCCAAGAGUCAAUCAGCCAACAAAAUACAUAGGCCAUAAGAUAGAUCCUAGAUGAAAACAAAAAAGAAAAGAUUAAUUAUUCUAGAUCUAAUAGAUAUCAUGGCUAGAGGGAUCA